AAUCUGUCCUUUAAUCGACAACCCACGUUAAGUUUCACUUUUUUUAAAAAAUUUAUAUAUCUCCAUUUAAAGAAUUAAUUUAAAAAUAAUAUUCCUAAUAAAAUAUAAUAAAUUAGGUCAAGGUGUAAUUAAUAUUAAAGGAUGAGAUGGAUUACACUAAAUAAUAUUUAAGGAUUAUAAAUUAAAAUAAAACAUAAAAAAGAAUUUAUAAGUAAUAUAUUAAUAAUAUUAUAAUAUGAUUAAGAUAAUAAAUGUGCACACAUCGCCC
rnacentral:rRNA from 1 species